CUUACACAUGCAAGUCGAACGGCAGCAUGAUCUAGCUUGCUAGGUUGAUGGCGAGUGGCGAACGGGUGAGUAAUACAUCGGAACGUGCCCUGUAGUGGGGGAUAACUAGUCGAAAGAUUAGCUAAUACCGCAUACGACCUGAGGGUGAAAGUGGGGGACCGCAAGGCCUCAUGCUAUAGGAGCGGCCGAUGUCUGAUUAGCUAGUUGGUGAGGUAAAGGCUCACCAAGGCGACGAUCAGUAGCUGGUCUGAGAGGACGAUCAGCCACACUGGGACUGAGACACGGCCCAGACUCCUACGGGAGGCAGCAGUGGGGAAUUUUGGACAAUGGGCGAAAGCCUGAUCCAGCAAUGCCGCGUGUGUGAAGAAGGCCUUCGGGUUGUAAAGCACUUUUGUCCGGAAAGAAAUGGCUCUGGUUAAUACCUGGGGUCGAUGACGGUACCGGAAGAAUAAGGACCGGCUAACUACGUGCCAGCAGCCGCGGUAAUACGUAGGGUCCAAGCGUUAAUCGGAAUUACUGGGCGUAAAGCGUGCGCAGGCGGUUGUGCAAGACCGAUGUGAAAUCCCCGAGCUUAACUUGGGAAUUGCAUUGGUGACUGCACGGCUAGAGUGUGUCAGAGGGGGGUAGAAUUCCACGUGUAGCAGUGAAAUGCGUAGAGAUGUGGAGGAAUACCGAUGGCGAAGGCAGCCCCCUGGGAUAACACUGACGCUCAUGCACGAAAGCGUG
rnacentral:rRNA from 1 species